rnacentral:rRNA from 1 species
UGGGGAAUCUUGGACAAUGGGGGGAACCCUGAUCCAGCGAUGCCGCGUGUGUGAAGAAGGCCUUCGGGUUGUAAAGCACUUUAGUAGGGGAGGAGUAGGGUUUGUUGAAUAGACGAAUCUGAGGACGUUACCCUAAGAAUAAGCACCGGCUAACUCUGUGCCAGCAGCCGCGGUAAUACAGAGGGUGCGAGCGUUAAUCGGAAUUAUUGGGCGUAAAGGGCGCGUAGGCGGAUAGACAAGUGGUAGGUGAAAGACCCGGGCUUAACCUGGGGAGGUCCUAUCAGACUGUUUUUCUAGAGUGUGGCAGAGGAAGGUGGAAUUCCCGGUGUAGCGGUGAAAUGCGUAGAUAUCGGGAAGAACAUCGAUGGCGAAGGCAGCCUUCUGGGCCAUAACUGACGCUGAGGCGCGAAAGCGUGGGGAGCGAACAGGAUUAGAUACCCCCGUAGUCC